UGUUGAUACAACAUUAAAUGAUGGAAUCAAGUCAGGGACGGAAGUCAGCAGCUUUAACAUUUAUUUAGUGUGUGUAUCUUUUUUU
rfam:Firmicutes bacterium CAG:321 genomic scaffold, scf96